GAUGAACGCUGGCGGCGUGCUUAACACAUGCAAGUCGAACGGAAAGGCCCUGCUUGCAGGGUACUCGAGUGGCGAACGGGUGAGUAACACGUGGGUGAUCUGCCCUGCACUUCGGGAUAAGCCUGGGAAACUGGGUCUAAUACCGGAUAGGAGCCAUUUUUAGUGUGAUGGUUGGAAAGUUUUUUCGGUGUAGGAUGAGCUCGCGGCCUAUCAGCUUGUUGGUGGGGUAAUGGCCUACCAAGGCGGCGACGGGUAGCCGGCCUGAGAGGGUGGACGGCCACAUUGGGACUGAGAUACGGCCCAGACUCCUACGGGAGGCAGCAGUGGGGAAUAUUGCACAAUGGGCGCAAGCCUGAUGCAGCGACGCCGCGUGGGGGAUGACGGCCUUCGGGUUGUAAACUCCUUUCGCUAGGGACGAAGCUUUUUGUGACGGUACCUAGAUAAGAAGCACCGGCUAACUACGU
rnacentral:rRNA from 1 species